AAUGCUUUUAAGUUGAGCAUGUUAGUGAUCCGUUCUGAGGGUCUGAAAUUUGGCAUUUGUUUGUAAUGACAAGUUUUUAUUGUUAAUUUUAAAAAUUCUUUUAAGUAACAGUGAUAAACGUUGAAAAAAAUAAUUGCGAAAAUUGGAGAAAAGUGUUAUUUUCUAAGAGAAUUUUUGGUUUAGCUUUGAAAUAUUUCCACGUGCUCAGCUAGAGUGUUAUAAUUGUCAUUACUUUUAAUGUGUGACUUUCAGUCAAGUAAAAUUGUUUGAAGAAUCAACACACGAUACAGUAUUUUUUAGUAUGGACAAGAAAAUGUCGUCAUCAUCACAGCCCCGGAUUUUAAAAAAGAAGCAUUUCCGCGUUAAGCAUCAAAAAGUUAAGCUUUUCCGAGCAAAUGAACCGAUUUUAAGCGUGUUUAUGUGGGGUAUAAAUUAUACGAUAAAUGAACUGAGUCAUGUCAAUAUUCCUGUAAUGCUUUUGCCUGAUGACUUUCGAGCAUAUUCGAAAACUAAAGUUGAUAAUCAGCUUUUUAACAAGUAUGUACAUGAAUAAACUUAUGCAUUAUAUUUUUAUAAAUUAAGUAAUAUUGCUAUAAUUAAGUUACUACAUAGAAUUGAAACUGCAAAAGAAUUGAAACGCUAUGCAUGUGUAGAUAUCUUUACUUUACUGACGUAGACAUCACUUACACGAUUACAUCCGAUUUAAAACAGUGCGCUUUUCGUUUCUUCUUUUUGCUGUUU